rnacentral:misc_RNA from 1 species
GAAAAAUAUUAAACUACCAUAAAAUCAACACAUAGUUUCAAUUUCAAACCCAGGAAAAUAAAUUGAAACUAUCAAAAGAGAAACUUGAGCUGGCUAAUCACAAUUCACAACCCUUUAAUAUGAAUUUACGUAUAUCUUUCUCACUUAAUCAAAAUUUAACAAUUAUAAUUUAGAUUAUGAACAACAAAAUCAAUAAUCAAAGCAACGAACAUCAUUGAAAAAAAAAAUUCUGAAACA